GAUGAGGACACUGAGGUGCAAGACGUUUGAGGUUAUCCAAGUUAUCCAGGGUCACACAACUGAUGAGGAAACCGAGCCUCAGAGAAGUAAAGUGAAACACCCAAGUUGAUAGUGUCAACAAAUUAAAAGUCCAAGCCAGAUCUCUUGAUUCACCAUUUCAUGCUUUUUUUCAACAUAACAGAAAUUGAUCAUACCUACAGUAACCCCUCACUCAGAUAAAUAUUUCCCCCAAGACAGCCAACAGAGACCCUUAGAGACACUAACUUAAUGCUAACCGAGCAAUAAAUGCAGCGUACCCAUACCCAAGCAUACAGACCCACCCACCCAGUCCCAAGGCUCUGUCCCCUGCCCUAAGGUGUCUCUCUGCAGCGUACCCCCUCCCCAAUACCCACUGAGGGUCCGUCAGCCAAAGAGGUGAGUGUCUUAACACAGAGAAGCAGAAUCUAUCCGACUCCUUCAGGAAGGGGACCUGGCAGGAAGGAGCCCCGUCCCUGGCGCUUGUUCUGGGAGUUCCGUCCACCCCCUCCCCUACCUGCCAAGAGCUGCAUCCAGGCGCAGAUCUUGUAGACCGUAGCCGUGUUGCAGAAGAAGAAAAGCGAAAAGCAGGUGAUGCAGCCGAGGAU
rnacentral:lncRNA from 10 species